ACGCUGGCGGCGUGCCUAAUACAUGCAAGUAGAACGCUGAAGAGAGGAGCUUGCUCUUCUUGGAUGAGUUGCAAACGGGUGAGUAACGCGUAGGUAACCUGCCUUGUAGCGGGGGAUAACUAUUGGAAACGAUAGCUAAUACCGCAUAACAAUAGGUGACACAUGUCAUUUAUUUGAAAGGGGCAAUUGCUCCACUACAAGAUGGACCUGCGUUGUAUUAGCUAGUAGGUGAGGUAACGGCUCACCUAGGCGACGAUACAUAGCCGACCUGAGAGGGUGAUCGGCCACACUGGGACUGAGACACGGCCCAGACUCCUACGGGAGGCAGCAGUAGGGAAUCUUCGGCAAUGGGGGCAACCCUGACCGAGCAACGCCGCGUGAGUGAAGAAGGUUCUCGGAUCGUAAAGCUCUGUUGUAAGUCAAGAACGAGUGUGAGAGUGGAAAGUUCACACUGUGACGGUAGCUUACCAGAAAGGGACGGCUAACUACGUGCCAGCAGCCGCGGUAAUACGUAGGUCCCGAGCGAUGUCCGGAUUUAUUGGGCGUAAAGCGAGCGCAGGCGGUUUGAUAAGUCUGAAGUUAAAGGCUGUGGCUCAACCAUAGUUCGCUUUGGAAACUGUCAAACUUGAGUGCGGAAGGGGAGAGUGGAAUUCCAUGUGUAGCGGUGAAAUGCGUAGAUAUAUGGAAGAACACCGGUGGCGAAAGCGGCUCUCUGGUCUGUAACUGACGCUGAGGCUCGAAAGCGUGGGGAGCGAACAGGAUUAGAUGCCCUGGUAGUCCACGCCGUAAACGAUGAGUGCUAGGUGUUGGAUCCUUUCCGGGAUUCAGUGCCGCAGCUAACGCAUUAAGCACUCCGCCUGGGGAGUACGACCGCAAGGUUGAAACUCAAAGGAAUUGACGGGGGCCCGCA
rnacentral:rRNA from 1 species